CGUAGGAUCCGAGCGUUGUCCGGAUUUACUGGGUGUAAAGGGUGCGCAGGCGGAAUGGUAAGUCAGAGGUGAAAUCUCGUCGCUUAACGACGAAACUGCCUUUGAUACUAUCAUUCUUGAGUCCGGUAGAGAUCUGUGGAAUUCCGAGUGUAGCAGUGAAAUGUGUAGAUAUUCGGAAGAACACCAGUGGCGAAGGCAGCAGAUUGGGCCGGUACUGACGCUCAGGCACGAAAGCAUGGGGAUCAAACAGGAUUAGAUACCCUGGUAGUCCAUGCCCUAAACGAUGUACACUUGAUAUCUGCCCUUAGGGUAGGUGUCGUAGCUAACGCGUUAAGUGUACCACCUGGGGAGUACGCUCGCAAGGGUG
rnacentral:rRNA from 1 species